GGGCCCUUAGCUUAGUUGGUAGAGCGUCGCAUUUGCAAUGCGAAGGUCAGGAGUUCAAAUCUCCUAGGGUCCA
rnacentral:tRNA from 1 species